rnacentral:lncRNA from 1 species
CACAACCCUUCCUCCCACCAAACCACCCCACCCCAAUCCCUCCUCCCAUGCACCUAUAUACUAACCGCUCCCACCACACAAUCCCUCCCAACAGUCCACCAUCACCCACAACCCCUCUUCCCAACAAAUACUUUAAUUUUCUCAUGUCUUAUUUCCUUGCAGAAAACGUCUGAAAACGGAGAACAUUCCGUGCAAAUGAGUGAGAGAUAUGAAAGAUUCUCUGCUUCGGAACCCCAAGAAGAAAAUACACAGCAGAUGUGGGAAGGCGAAAGUGGAGACAAAAUGCCAUUGCACCCAGUUUAAGAAACAGACGUUUUUUCUCGAUCAAGUACAUAGCACAAACAAACGGAAUCCUGAGAAGGAAUUCACGCACAUCCGUAGGGUAGGAAAACCAAACUUUUCAAGUUACAUAGGAAGAAACAUGUGAUUGAUAGUAAAACUACUUUAGACACUUGAUGAUUCUAUUUGUAAAUUAUUUGACAGAUUAAACAAUCUCGUAUCAAAUAUCGUUACAAAUGUUCAGGUUUUAAAAUUGGCAAUCAAGGAUGCUUUAUCCACUCUUACCGUUAUUUCCACUUUCAGUGAAGUGAAGAAUGUUAAGGAAGAUGUCGAGGUAUUAAACCAACCUAUACGAAGCUAUACCGACUAUAUUAGC